CACCCAGAAAGAUACGUGCAUUUUCUCUUCCUUAAGGAAUCAGAAUUGAAGAGACAAGGAAAAGAAUAAUCAGUGAGAGCAGAAGCUGCAAGACACGGAGAGAAGGCAAUAUUCACACUUCAUGAAUGUGAUGUUUGCCACACUAGCCACAUUCUUGGAC